AGACAGGGAGCAGGGCGAUGGCGCAGGCGAAGAGGAUGAUCCAGGAGCGCUGCAGGUAGAUGCCCAGCAUGUGAUACUGCUCGGCGCCAUAGGACUGGCCGCACAGCGUCUCCAGCGCGCUCGCCAUGCCCAGCUGCAGUUGCUUGCGUCUUGUUGGCGACGAGCCGACGCCAGGCCACCAGGGCAGACGUUGUUCAUCUUGCGUCGCAAAAGAGAGUGUUUGUGCCAGCCAAGAAUGCAAUUCUAGCAAUCAAACGGAUUGGAGUUGUGCAUGCAUUUUGUACCAUGGCUUUGGACACUGACUUCACAAUCGAUGAUGAUGGAUUGGUUACUGCUGAUGGAAGCCUGACGCCUCGCUAUUUUGUUGACCGAGAGAAGAAGAGAGCAAUUGGAACACCAACGUAUUGAUGCUGGGUGUCUCUUUUGCACUGCACGUCUGCACGUGCAAGAAACUUUCCAAAUCUAGGAAUUUGAGUUUUACUGGAAUUUAAGCGUGGACCCAAAAUGCAGAUGAAGAGCUUAAAAUCGAUGGUAUCUCGAGCUUGCAUGGGCCACAAAACGGUUUUGGUUGAAACUUGAUGAAAAAUUGAAUGCUACUACGGUUGGUGCAUGUGAAAGACUACUCCAGUUUGUAAAGUUAGACAUGAAUAUGGUGCUCCUCUGAUUGAGUGUGCCGCGUCACUCUCUAUGGGGCCAGUUUUUGUAAUGCUAGUGCCUAAGAAAAGUUUGUCUUGCUACUCUCUGGUCCUUGUCAAUGUGCACUGUGUUAUGAAUGAAAACGCAGGACGUGCCUUGGUUUA